rnacentral:rRNA from 1 species
AACCUCCGCAAUGUGAGAAAUCGCGACGGGGGGAUCCCAAGUGCCAUUCCUAACGGGAUGGCUUUUCAUUAGUGUAAAGAGCUUUUGGAAUAAGGGCUGGGCAAGACCGGUGCCAGCCGCCGCGGUAACACCGGCAGCUCUAGUGGUAGCAGUUUUUAUUGGGCCUAAAGCGUCCGUAGCCGGUUUAAUAAGUCUCUGGUGAAAUCCUGUAGCUUAACUGUGGGAAUUGCUGGAGAUACUAUUAGACUUGAGACCGGGAGAGGUUAGAGGUACUCCCAGGGUAGAGGUGAAAUUCUGUAAUCCUGGGAGGACCGCCUGUUGCGAAGGCGUCUAACUGGAACGGUUCUGACGGUGAGGGACGAAAGUUAGGGGCGCGAACCGGAUUAGAUACCCGGGUAGUCCUAACUGUAAACGAUGCGGACUUGGUGUUGGGGUGGCUUUGAGCUGCUCCAGUGCCGAAGGGAAGCUGUUAAGUCCGCCGCCUGGGAAGUACGGUCGCAAGACUGAAACUUAAAGGAAUU